rnacentral:rRNA from 1 species
AUUGAACGCUGGCGGCAGGCCUAACACAUGCAAGUCGAGCGGAUGAAGGGAGCUUGCUCCUGGAUUCAGCGGCGGACGGGUGAGUAAUGCCUAGGAAUCUGCCUGGUAGUGGGGGAUAACGUCCGGAAACGGGCGCUAAUACCGCAUACGUCCUGAGGGAGAAAGUGGGGGAUCUUCGGACCUCACGCUAUCAGAUGAGCCUAGGUCGGAUUAGCUAGUUGGUGGGGUAAAGGCCUACCAAGGCGACGAUCCGUAACUGGUCUGAGAGGAUGAUCAGUCACACGGGAACUGAGACACGGUCCAGACUCCUACGGGAGGGAGCAGUGGGGAAUAUUGGACAAUGGGCGAAAGCCUGAUCCAGCCAUGCCGCGUGUGUGAAGAAGGUCUUCGGAUUGUAAAGCACGUUAAGUUGGGAGGAAGGGCAGUAAGUUAAUACCUUGCUGUUUUGACGGUACCAACAGAAUAAGCACCGGCUAACUUCGUG